AAACAUAUACCCUAUUUAUAAAAAGAACCGAAACAUAUACCCUAUUUAUUUGGUGAAACCGAGGGUUUAAUUACCGAACACUUGAAGAAUUGUUUUAAAUUUCAAAAGAAAGAAUCAAUUUACUCACAUGAAGAAUAAACUAUUUACCUAUGAUAUAUUAAUUAUCUUGGGAAAGUACCUUCUUCAGUAGUGAAGGAGAGGUUUUUGGUUUCACAUGAUAUGUUCUUCGUUCAAAUAUGUUUUCUAAAUGGUCACUGUUCUAUGCAACAGGUAUGUUGAAUAUGGACAAAGAUUAAAGUUGCAUCUAGAUUAUUCGAGAAUGCCUAUAAAUAAAACAAAAGAUACAUCACAUGGCAACAGAGCCAGCAGUGAUGGUGGUUUGGAGCGUGUUCAUGCAUAACUUUUGCUACAAGAUCACCUUAUCGCCCUUGCCCUAUUGCUCUUACGGUUGCUAAAGGGCUGGCGUUGGAUAUUCCGAAAUAUUUAUCAACUUUAUUGAUGUUAAAGUGGAAGAACAGAGACAAAAAUCUUUGGAUUUGAUAAAUAGCACGAAGAACAUGUCUUUAUCUUCAUGCUUCAAAGGACGCUACGAUAAACAAUGAUGGGAAGAAUGUCGUACCAGAUGUUUGGCAAGUUCUUGAUAAAAUGAAAGAAUUCUCGGAUAAAGUUCGCAAUGGUUCCUGGCGACAUUCCUGGAUUCUGAUCCUUUAUGGGAUGCUCUAUAUAUCCAACCGUUUCAACUUGCACUGCCACCAGUAGCUGACUCCACUUGCUGGUUGGAUGUCUAAUCCACCAACUGUAUAUCAUCCAAUGGUAUUUGGUAGUGCAAUUAGUCUCGGUAGUUCGUCUAUUUCAGAUAAUCUAGAUAAUUGUCUAUGCCAUUUUCCUGUUGACCCAUUUGGCCUUUUUUAUUCAUUCGCAGUUGCUUUGAAGUAUCUAAGAACUCCAACAAAUCCUUCUUUUGAUUACUCAUUGUUGAUUCUGAUAAUAUAAGCUACAGAACAAGGAUCAUGGGAAUAAUUGAUGUGGUUAUUUCAUUUUAUUUUAUUGCUACAAGUUAUAACACCAUUUCACUUAUUAGAGUUAACUUUGAUGUAUUUCUUGCUAAAAAAUCACAAUCAAACCUUAAUGCUUCUAAUGACUUGCCAAAAGUCGUUGGUCGGUUAUUGUUUUACGACAAAUGUAUAGGCUAUUCAGGGCCGGCCCUGAGGGUGGGCGACCCGCACCCCCGACUGAGGCCCGUUUUUCCUGAGGGCUUUUUUACCCUUGGUACCCGGUUCGAUUCUUGCCAUUUUCUUAAUUUUUUAGUUUUUCGUAGUGUAUUUUGUAAGUCCGAUUUAUUUCUAAAACAAGGACAAAUUGAUGUUUUGGUUCAUUGGUUUAGCAAUUACAUUUACAUUUAUUGGUCUAAUUGUGGUUGAGUUUGGCUGUUAUUUGUAUUCAAGGGCAAAGUCAAGUUUACUGAUGGAACCUGUUGAUGCUUAACCUAAGGAGCUUCCGCAAAGUAAACAAAAGCGUAGAGAGGGUGGCAAAUGAAAAUGUUCAAGGGCUUAUGACCCAUUUGGCAUGUUCAGUAACAGUAUUCAUUCAAUCCAGAGCAUAUUCGAAAUGGCAUAAGAAAAAUGGGUAGAACCGGUCAAAUGGGGUAAAUAUCAUCCAAAGCGUAUUAAAAAAAUUUCAAAUGCAUAAAAGCUUUAACAACCAAUUCAUUAAAAAAAUACAGAUUAUGGUUUGUAAUAAUAUAGAUUUUGCAAUCAUAAUUAGCACAUUAAUUAUUUAGAUAAUUAAAAAAGGAGUGAUAUACAAAGUGAUGUGGGUUGGCCCCACCAACCCAUUUUUACCCAUUAUUCAAUUUACGAGACCUACCCAUUUUUCGACCUCUACAUGGUUUAAUUGGUAAAGAUGUAAGUUACUUGGUGAAAGAGAUAUGUAUGCAGAUUUUCAAUUGGGUGCGGCUCCUGGUUUUGUUAGUUGGGGAAGGCGUAGUUGAUUGGCUUCACGGGGUAAAUAACUGGUCAACUGGAGUACAUUCAAAAGUGUUGACAAUAGUGAUGUUUACGGCUAUGUGGAGAGCUUGGUUGGCCAAGAACAAAAUAAUGUUUAACGGCAAGGCGACUUCAUUACACCAGCCGAUAGACAAGGUCAAAGAGCUGCUUUUCUUAUGGAGAUGUGUAAUUUUGUUAGUUGAAUCAUGCUUUUUUCAUUUAACAUUAGUGUGGGGUUUGUUGUUUCCCCCUUUGUCAUAAUGGGUUCAUCUAUGCAUCUCCAUGUUUCUUUGGUUUAA